ACAUUUUAGUGUAGAGGAGAGGAGGGCACCCCAUUGGGUGAUAACCCUAGCCGCCAUCCCCAUCCCAGCGCGCCCCCUCCUUCGCAGCCGCCGCCACGUCUCCCGUCGUUGAGCUCGCCUCCGCCGCUGCUCUCCCCUGUCCCUCCCGCACCACCAACCCCGACUCCUCCCCUGUACACGGCGAGCUCGACGAGCAAGGCAGACAUUUGGGCGCUGCUGUACGAGGGCCAUGCCGAACACGCCCCGGAGCACGACGGCCUCUGCUUCCGCUUCUCAUCUGAUGGGCACCUCUGCGCGUGUGACGACCUAGGUGCCGCCGCUGUCACCACCGACACAAGUUCAAAGGCGACGGCCGCGCAUCGCCAUCAUCGGGACGAGCGACAAGGCCAAAGGCGACGGAGGCGACGGCCGCGCGUCGCCAUCACUGGGAGGAGCGACGCCCGCCGAGACGGCCGUCCAUGUCGCCGGUGUCAUCAACCUUCAGGUGCUCUUCCUCCCGUCUCAGCUAGGGUUCCUGUCCUUCCUCUCACUUCUUUCUCUCCCUCGCAUAUCUCUCUCCGUCGUCGUCGUCACCAUCCACACGAGGAGCACACAGACGGCUAAUCCGUCCAGGUUUGAGGCGGUGUGGUCUCGCAUCGCCCCUCUCCCCUUCAAGAACACUGUGCUCUCCCCUCUGUUCACUGUUGGUGGUUCAGAUACGGGCCAUUGAUGCUCAUUGGUAUUGCCGUGGCCGCGUGGCACGGCGUUGUGCGGAAGAUGGGGGGAGGCCGUCGUGGUGGUGGGGCUGGACUUUGCCGCCUGCGACGAGGCGGCCGUCGACGCCGCGGUGGAGGCGGCAUGGCAUUGCUUUGGCCACGGCGAGCUCAACACCCUGGUUAACUGCUGCUCCUAUGAAGGGGAAGUGCAAGACUGCCUUAGUGUAACUGAAGAUGAGUAGUCACACCUUGGCUGCUAAUAAAGGCGAUGGCAAAGUGGUUCCGGGAUGCGCAGUCCGGCGGUUCCAUGGUAUGCUUGAUCCAGAUCAUCGGUGCUGAGAGAGGACUCUGCCCAAGGGUUGUGGCAUACUGUACGAGUUUAGGCGUUGUUCAUCAGCUUGUCAGAGUAAGCCUACCUUCCUGUUACAAAGAGGCAUGAAUGCUCACAGAAAUCAUGAAUGCCUACAUGAUCAUUGAUGUUCUUUGUUGCUGUCAUUCUUUGCUGCUGUCAAAGAAAAUCUUUGCUGUGAGCACAUUUGCUCCAUUUAUUGAGCACAUUUGCAGGGAGUAGAAAUCAGUGUUAACUGACAAAUCUUCAGUAAAUGGUUGUUGUCAAAGAUUUCAGCAUUUAUAAAUUUGCAUAUAAAUGUUCAGUAAAUGGUUGAUGUCAAAGCUUUUAUACUCCAUUUGGUGAGCACAUUUGUUAACAUUAAAUUAAUGUUAGCUGAAUUACUGUCAAAGAAAUUAUUUACUGUUGUCAUAUUAGUGUUAGCAGUAUUGUCAUAUUGAUAGGAGACAGGAUCACUGAAUUUGACAGUACAAAUUAUCAAGCUCACUGGAGUAUAUGCUCUAUGUAAACUCUAUUUAGAGAUUCAGUGAUGGGUUGAUUUACAAAUACUGAAGGUAACAUAGAGAUUUGGAGUUGAGAUAGAAUAACCUUGACAACAACUACUGCAUAUUUAGGGUCCAAAGUAUGAAUAACUUGGAUUUUGGCAGAUAGUAACAGAAGUUUUAAUUUGAUUGUCUUCAACCGAUCCAUUUAGCAGAAGUUUAACUUUUCUCAACCUUUUCCUUUUAAAUGUUUGCCUUCAUUUUUAGUGGACUGACCAGAUGCAUGAUUGAAGUGAAAGGAGAAGGGCAUUUUCAUCAAAGGAACAUUUAUUGGUCUGUGCAUUUUACUUCUUACUUUCUACUCACUCUAACAAAGCUAAGUUACUGAUGAAAAUUUUGAUGCCUUCUAACUUAACAUCAGGACAUGUUAAAUCGCAAUUUGUCACUUGCAUGUUGCAUUAAGUUACAUGUCAGAGUUCUCUUGCAUAUUGCAGUGAGCUGGAUACAACUCAUGUUUGAUUAGUUGAGCUCUCCUCCUUGGCGAUUGGCUGAAGGAGGACCAGUCCGUCAAGCUAAGAUGGGCCGCAUCUGACUCGGCCUGUUGCAGUGGGGUGCCUUGCCUCCUUUGACACUCAACAUGAGACAAGGUGAUCUGGUGUUGGUUCUUAGGUUUAGAAGGUUUAUAAAUGAUCGGGGUCGUGUCUGUUGGAUGAUUGUGCCUUGGUGCUAUUUCCUGCUGGGUGUAUGAAUGAAACGUGAUUGAUCUUUGCCCAUUAACCUGUAUGACAGUUUAAUUCAAGUUAGUACAAGCAUAUGUUUGUUAAUAGAAUGUUUUAUGUUUUUUACAAGAAGCAUUGUACACUGCAACUAUUUUGGAUGGAAUAGUUACUAUAAGAGUGGGCUAUAUGUCACCAACCUUCUAAUUGUAUAUUGUAUUAUCUGAAGUUUGGUAUUGUUUCAUAAGCAUUUCUUUCAAUGUCAGAUUACUAUGAUUCUGACACCCAUAGUACAUGGCACGAACAGUUAUUUCUGUAACAAGGUUUUGAUUCAUGCUUAUGGUCACAUUAUGAAGUUGUACUCUGCUUCAACUCAUGUUUCUACCCUAAUUUGUCUGACUGGUUCUUUUUAUUUUUGUCGACGAGGUAUGUCAAGGCGACGUGGCGGCACUAUGGACGACAUAAGCAUGACCAGAUCAGUGGUGAAAAUCCCAGGUGUAAAUAUUCUCUUUAUUAUGUCUCAUUUUGUUGAAUGAAUAGUUACUUUAUAUGAUGCUGGUAAGGGUUUGAAUGAAUAGUUACUUUAUAUGAUGCUGGUAAGGGUUUGAAUGAAUAGUUACUUUAUAUAUAUGCAUUGCCUGCUAUUUGCAAAGUUUGUUGGCUUUGGUCUGCAACUACAACUUGCACAAUAGGUGCAAUCGGAUAAAUGAUACAACUUGCACAAUAGUUACUUGAUAUGAGCUUAUGAAGAAGCUUGAGGAAACACGAAGGUCAAUAGGAUGCAUUUCCGUAGAGCUUGAUCGUGCAGAUUUUCUUGAAUUAAAGCUUACUGAUAAAGCUAAGGUUUCUAUGGUUGAAAGGGAUUAUACCAAUUUACAGGACCCAAAUUGGCAGAAGAUUCUGCAACUGUGGAAACCACCAGGUACAUGUAGAACGCACAAAACAAUACUCCCUCCGUUCCAAAAUAGAUGACUCAACUUUGUACUAAAGUUAGUAUAAAGUUUAAUCAUCUAUUUUGGAACGGAGGGAGUACCUUCUAAGAUGAACCAGUACCUUAGGAGUUAGAGAGCACACGUGAAAUUACUAUCAGUUAGGAUUAUCAAGUUUAUUAGAUACACAGCAUCAGAAUGAGUGAGCGAGUGCAUGUAAAAUUGCUUUGAACAGUGAGCGAGUCCCGCACCAGUUUUAAUGCUGUAUAGAUUAUGUGUACUUAUAUUUAUUGAACUGGAUUACUUAAUAAAAUUUGAAGCCAAAUUUAAGAUGAUUCGAUGAAGAAAAAUUAGAAAACUUAAACAAUGUCAUGUCAUGUGUUAAGCUUAGAUGAUGCCUUUCUUACACAAAGGUCUUACAGUGUAUUUCUAUUAGUCAUUCUAAUAAACAAGGAUACCUUCCUUGCACAGGUAGUUCGGGAGUGAUGAUCAAUCAAUUCGAAGAACCACUUGCUUCGGCACUGUUAUUGCCCAACUAUGUAUUAUACCACUAGCUACCAAGUCGUUGCAGUGAAUUUCUAUUCGACCAUUCAUUUGUAGGAAUGUCUUGCUCUGAAUAUUAUGUUGCAUCAAAAUUGCUGGAUGCUCUCAGACCUUGACUGCUUUGUGUAAAUAUACAGUAUAUAAAGCAUUCUGUGUUAGCCC